GAGCGCCUUGCACGCCGCGGUGAGUGCGACGUGGUUACUGCCCGCGUUCGCGACCUCUUGUUCGCGCGCCGCGACCGCUUCCUCCGCGGUGACAAUCGC
rnacentral:tRNA from 1 species